rnacentral:pre_miRNA from 1 species
AACCCCCUGUAUCCGUGCUGAGAUUUCGUCAGAGAUCAAGCCGUUGGGGCCGAUGGUACUUACCAAAUAAGUGAAGCG